AACGCUGGCGGCGCGCUUAACACAUGCAAGUCGAGCGAGAACCAGUCCUUCGGGACUGGGGACGGCGGCGAACGGGUGAGUAACACGUGGGUAAUCUGCCCUCGAUUCUGGGAUAGCCCGGGGAAACCCGGAUUAAUACCGGAUAGCCUCGCUGGUCCUCGGGCCGGCGAGAAAAGGUAGCUUCGGCCUCCGAUCGAGGAUGAGCACGCGGCGGAUUAGCUUGUUGGUGGGGUAACGGCCCACCAAGGCGACGAUCCGUAGCUGGUCUGAGAGGACGAUCAGCCACACUGGGACUGAGACACGGCCCAGACUCCUACGGGAGGCAGCAGUGGGGAAUCUUGCGCAAUGGGCGAAAGCCUGACGCAGCGACGCCGCGUGGGGGAAGAAGGCCUUCGGGUUGUAAACCUCUUUCAGCAGGGACGAAGCCACUCGGGUGAAUAGCCCAGAGGGUGACGGUACCUGCAGAAGAAGCCCCGGCUAACUACGUGCCAGCAGCCGCAGUAA
rnacentral:rRNA from 1 species